rnacentral:rRNA from 1 species
UGGGGAAUUUUCCGCAAUGGGCGCAAGCCUGACGGAGCAACGCCGCGUGAGUGACGAAGGCCCUAGGGUUGUAAAGCUCUUUCAGUGGUGACGAUGAUGACGGUAGCCACAGAAGAAGCCCCGGCUAACUCCGUGCCAGCAGCCGCGGUAAUACGGAGGGGGCAAGCGUUGUUCGGAAUUACUGGGCGUAAAGGGCGCGUAGGCGGUCUGUUGCGUCAGGUGUGAAAGCCCCGGGCUCAACCUGGGAGGUGCACUUGAUACGGGCGGACUGGAAUCCGGGAGAGGAUGGUGGAAUUCCCAGUGUAGAGGUGAAAUUCGUAGAUAUUGGGAAGAACACCGAUGGCGAAGGCAGCCAUCUGGCCCGGUAUUGACGCUGAGGCGCGAAAGCGUGGGGAGCAAACAGGAUUAGAUACCCCCGUAGUCC